GUUAGAGGUUUCUAUAUUGCUAUUAUUUGGUGGUCACCUCUAACGAUUUUGAAUCCAACUGUUGAGUACUUCAGUUGCAUAUAGGUUUUUUUGGUAGUGUGGUAGUGCUAGAGCAUUGAUCUAUCUUUCUACUGCCUAAUGGAGAAAAUUAAGUAUGCAUAUAUGAAAAAUUAACUGCACAGAUGUGGAAAACUUGCCAUUCUUUUGGGUAAUCCAUAAUGAUUGGAAUACGGAAAUUACUGUUGGAAGAGUUUGCAAGAAUUUUCAUUUUACUACUUUCUUAACAAAUGUUUGUUGCCAUACCUUGAUCUAGCACAGUUAAAAGUAUUUUACUCAUGGCAUCUAGUUGGGAUGCAUUCAAUAAAAUAUAACAAACUUGAUAAAAGGGACAUUCAUUUUCG
rnacentral:misc_RNA from 1 species